rnacentral:rRNA from 1 species
GACGAAGGGGGCUAGCGUUGUUCGGAAUUAUUGGGCGUAAAGAGCGUGUAGGCGGUUUGGUAAGUCCGUUGUGAAAACUCGAGGCUCAACCUCGAGACGCCGAUGGAAACCAUCAGACUAGAGUCCGGAAGAGGAGAGUGGAAUUCCUGGUGUAGCGGUGAAAUGCGCAGAUAUCAGGAAGAACACCCGUGGCUAAGGCGGCUCUCUAGUACGGUACUGACGCUGAGACGCGAAAGCGUGGGGAGCGAACAGG